UCCAGACUCCUACGGGAGGCAGCAGUGGGGAAUAUUGCACAAUGGGGGGAACCCUGAUGCAGCGACGCCGCGUGGGUGAAGGAGCGUUUCGGCGCGUAAAGCCCUAUCGGCAGGGAAGAAGGAGGACGGUACCUGACUAAGAAGCCCCGGCUAACUACGUGCCAGCAGCCGCGGUAAUACGUAGGGGGCAAGCGUUAUCCGGAUUUACUGGGUGUAAAGGGGGCGCAGACGGCAGCGCAAGCCAGGAGUGAAAGCCCGGGGCCCAACCCCGGGACUGCUCUUGGAACUGCGCGGCUGGAGUGCAGGAGGGGCAGGCGGAAUUCCUGGUGUAGCGGUGAAAUGCGUAGAUAUCAGGAGGAACACCGGUGGCGAAGGCGGCCUGCUGGACUGCGACUGACGUUGAGGCCCGAAAGCGUGGGGAGCAAACAGGAUUAGAUACCCUAGUA
rnacentral:rRNA from 1 species